UGUUGCUGCAUGAUUUUAGAUACAGAGCUGCCCAAUUCAGCUUAAAUCUCUAAGGAAAUCUACAAAGCAGGGAAACAAAUACAGCAAGAGAUCUCAUUUGGAGGCAAUGACCCUGCUUAAUAGCUGAGAUAGUCUAUGUUUACUUCAAGUGUGUCCAGAGAAACUUUAAACUUACAGUGAGAAUUCUCCAAAAAGGACCUAUAAAGAACAGAUGCCAGUUUCCAGUUAAGUGACUUUUACCUUUAUCCGGUGGGACUUUGAUUUUCAGACACAGAUAUCAAGCUAAGAAAAUGUG
rnacentral:lncRNA from 1 species